rfam:Neotoma lepida isolate 417 scaffold_868, whole genome shotgun sequence.
AUCCUUUCUUUGGUUCAUAAGCAUGAUGCUUGAAUGUUCACACCAUUGAGUGGCGUGUGUCUCCCACAAACCUCGUUACCACAUCGGAACAAUACCAGUCUGAUG